AAAGUCAACUUAAGGUUUACUACUGUCCAAUGAGUGCACAGUGAGGGCACUACUGCUAACGCCUACACAAGACACCCACAUCAAUUAGAGCUUUGCUUUACUUUGGUGCAAUUUUUGGAAAA
ensembl:snRNA RNU4ATAC10P RNA, U4atac small nuclear 10, pseudogene